rnacentral:rRNA from 1 species
CCUACGGGUGGCAGCAGUGAGGAAUAUUGGUCAAUGGACGAGAGUCUGAACCAGCCAAGUAGCGUGAAGGAUGACUGCCCUAUGGGUUGUAAACUUCUUUUAUAUGGGAAUAAAAUGUUCCACGUGUGGGAUUUUGUAUGUACCAUAUGAAUAAGGAUCGGCUAACUCCGUGCCAGCAGCCGCGGUAAUACGGAGGAUCCGAGCGUUAUCCGGAUUUAUUGGGUUUAAAGGGAGCGUAGGUGGAGUGUUAAGUCAGUUGUGAAAGUUUGCGGCUCAACCGGAAAAUUGCAGUUGAAACUGGCAGGCUUGAGUACAGGAGAGGUGGGCGGAAUUCGUGGUGUAGCGGUGAAAUGCUUAGAUAUCACGAAGAACUCCGAUUGCGAAGGCAGCUCACUGGACUGCAACUGACACUGAGGCUCGAAAGUGUGGGUAUCAAACAGGAUUAGAUACCCCUGUAGUC